UACUAUACUGGGUGAUCAGAACUGUAGGG
rnacentral:piRNA from 1 species